GGAAUUCCUGGUGUAGCGGUGAAAUGCGCAGAUAUCAGGAGGAACACCGAUGGCGAAGGCAGGUCUCUGGGCAUUAACUGACGCUGAGGAGCGAAAGCAUGGGGAGCGAACAGGAUUAGAUACCCUGGUAGUCCAUGCCGUAAACGUUGGGCACUAGGUGUGGGGGACAUUCCACGUUUUCCGCGCCGUAGCUAACGCAUUAAGUGCCCCGCCUGGGGAGUACGGCCGCAAGGCUAAAACUCAAAGGAAUUGACGGGGGCCCGCACAAGCGGCGGAGCAUGCGGAUUAAUUCGAUGCAACGCGAAGAACCUUACCAAGGCUUGACAUGAACCGGAAACACCUGGAAACAGGUGCCCCGCUUGCGGUCGGUUUACAGGUGGUGCAUGGUUGUCGUCAGCUCGUGUCGUGAGAUGUUGGGUUAAGUCCCGCAACGAGCGCAACCCUCGUUCUAUGUUGCC
rnacentral:rRNA from 1 species